rnacentral:rRNA from 1 species
CAUUAAAGAGUUCUAUAACUCCCAAACCCAUGUGAACAUACCUAACGUUGCCUCGGCAGGUCGCACCUACCUUGUAGCACCCUACCCUGUAGGGCCUACCCGGGAGGUGCGGGUAAGCCUGCCGGCGGCCCACCAAACUCUGUUUGAUAUUGAAUUCUGAACCUAUAACUAAAUAAGUUAAAACUUUCAACAACGGAUCUCUUGGUUCUGGCAUCGAUGAAGAACGCAGCGAAAUGCGAUAAGUAAUGUGAAUUGCAGAAUUCAGUGAAUCAUCGAAUCUUUGAACGCAUAUUGCGCCCAUUAGUAUUCUAGUGGGCAGGACCGUUCGAGCGUCAUUUCAACCCUUAAGCCUUCGUUGCUUAGUGUUGGGAGCCUACGGCAACGUAGCUCCUCAAAGUUAGUGGCGGAGUUGGUUCACACUCUAGACGUAGUAAUUUUUUAUCUCGCCUAUUAGUUGGACUAAUCCCCUGCCGUAAAACCCCCAAUUUAUCAAGGUUGACCUCGAAUCGGUUCAGACAAACUCGCUAAAUUGAAGCAUCUUAGUCAGCGAAGGAAAAGAAACCAACAGGGAUUGCCCUAGUAACGGCGAGUGAAGCGGCAACAGCUCAAAUUUGAAAUCUGGCCCUCGGGUCCGAGUUGUAAUUUGUAGAGGAUGCUUUUGGCGCGGUGCCUUCCGAGUUCCCUGGAACGGGACGCCUUAGAGGGUGAGAGCCCCGUACGGUUGGACACCAAGCCUCUGUAAAGCUCCUUCGACGAGUCGAGUAGCUUGGGAAUGCUGCUCUAAAUGGGAGGUAAAUUUCUUCUAAAGCUAAAUAUUGGCCAGAGACCGAUAGCGCACAAGUAGAGUGAUCGAAAG